GGCGGAGUCUGCAGUUCCAGGACCGCGUUUGUAGGACCUUAGUUUUUCGCGACACCGAUCCCUAACGAACUGGACGUAAGACGAUGGACAUGCAUAUAACAAUCCAAGAGGGGAGAUUUCUUCCUGAAUUGAAACACUGCAGGAAAUGCUGCAAGAAAUUCCACUACCCAUUCUGUCACUCGGCUUUGUUCCGCCCAACAAAGUUGAGCAAGGUCAGAACCCAUUUAGAGAACCAUUUCAACUGCACCGUUCUCCAUGAAGGGUACACCAUACACAGGUGUGGGUUAGAUUGUCGACCACAGUGGCACUACCACUGCAUCUACUGCCAGUCAAUGUUGUCCCGUAAACCAGACUUCAUUAGACAUUUGUCUUUCUGCAAGAAGAGGCACCCUGCUAUAACUUCUACCUGCCCAGCUCCAACCACCCCCACCAACCCCAGC